GAUGAACGCUGGCGGCGUGCCUAAUACAUGCGAGUCGAGCGAACAGACGAGGAGCUUGCUCCUCUGACGUUAGCGGCGGACGGGUGAGUAACACGUGGAUAACCUACCUAUAAGACUGGGAUAACUUCGGGAAACCGGAGCUAAUACCGGAUAAUAUAUUGAACCGCAUGGUUCAAUAGUGAAAGACGGUUUUGCUGUCACUUAUAGAUGGAUCCGCGCCGCAUUAGCUAGUUGGUAAGGUAACGGCUUACCAAGGCAACGAUGCGUAGCCGACCUGAGAGGGUGAUCGGCCACACUGGAACUGGGACACGGUCCAGACUCCUACGGGAGGCAGCAGUAGGGAAUCUUCCGCAAUGGGCGAAAGCCUGACGGAGCAACGCCGCGUGAGUGAUGAAGGUCUUCGGAUCGUAAAACUCUGUUAUUAGGGAAGAACAACUGUGUAAGUAACUAUGCACGUCUUGACGGUACCUAAUCAGAAAGCCACGGCUAACUACGUG
rnacentral:rRNA from 1 species